UACGGAGGGUGCAAGCGUUGUCCGGAUUUAUUGGGUUUAAAGGGUGCGUAGGCGGCCCGUUAAGUCAGUGGUGAAAGCCUCCAGCUCAACUGGAGAACUGCCAUUGAUACUGGCGGGCUUGAGUACAGACGAGGUUGGCGGAAUUGAUUGUGUAGCGGUGAAAUGCGUAGAUACAAUCAAGAACACCGAUUGCGUAGGCAGCUAACUAGGCUGUAACUGACGCUGAGGCACGAAAGCGUGGGGAGCGAACAGG
rnacentral:rRNA from 1 species